CUACGGGUCGCACCAGGCGCGAAACCUUUACAAUGCGGGAAACCGUGAUAAGGGAACCCUGAGUGCUCAUCUUACGAUGGGCUUUUGCCAAGAGUAAAAAUCUUGGCGAAUAAGUGGUGGGUAAGACUGGUGCCAGCCGCCGCGGUAACACCAGCGCCACGAGUGGGAAUCGUGUUUAUUUGGCCUAAAGCGUCCGUAGCCGGCAAAGUAAAUCUUUUGUGAAAUCAUCGGGCCUAACCUGAUGGCGUGCAGAAGAGACUGCUAUGCUUGGAACCGGGAGGAGUCAGAAGUAUGGGAUGGGGAGCGGUAAAAUGCGAUAAUCCAUCUUAGACUACCUGUGGCGAAGGCGUCUGACUAGAACGGAUUCGACGGUGAGGGACGAAAGCCAGGGGAGCGAUCCGGAUUAGAUACCCGGGUAGUC
rnacentral:rRNA from 1 species